AGUGAACACUGGCGGUAGGCCUAACACAUGCCAGUCGAACGGCAGCACAGUAAGAGCUUGCUCUUACGGGUGGCGAGUGGCGGACGGGUGAGGAAUACAUCGGAAUCUACUUUUUCGUGGGGGAUAACGUAGGGAAACUUACGCUAAUACCGCAUACGACCUACGGGUGAAAGCAGGGGAUCUUCGGACCUUGCGCGAUUGAAUGAGCCGAUGUCAGAUUAGCUAGUUGUCGGGGUAAAGGCCCACCAAGGCGACGAUCCGUAGCUGGUCUGAGAGGAUGAUCAGCCACACUGGAACUGAGACACGGUCCAGACUCCUACGGGAGGCAGCAGUGGGGAAUAUUGGACAAUGGGCGCAAGCCUGAUCCAGCCAUACCGCGUGGGUGAAGAAGGCCUUCGGGUUGUAAAGCCCUUUUGUUGGGAAAGAAAAGCAGCAGGUUAAUACCCCGCUGUUCUGACGGUACCCAAAGAAUAAGCACCGGCUAACUUCGUG
rnacentral:rRNA from 1 species